rnacentral:misc_RNA from 1 species
AACACUGUUAACCUGCGGUACCUGCGGAGGGAUCAUUAACAAGAGUCGGUUCGCACCUUCUCAUACCAAAUGUGCACUUGCCUGUUUGACUCACCGCGGCUUGACGCGAGCUCAGCUGUCUGUGCGCUACGAAAGUGGUGUGCGACUGGCUGGGCGGACGCCAACUGCGGUGAUGUUGUUUUCAACUGUCGUGUGUAUGUUAUUAUCGAAUGACUUUUGUCUUUUGUAAUGAUGAUGUGU